rnacentral:rRNA from 1 species
UACGUAGGGCGCAAGCGUUAUCCGGAAUUAUUGGGCGUAAAGAGCUCGUAGGCGGUUUGUCGCGUCUGCCGUGAAAGUCCGGGGCUCAACUCCGGAUCUGCGGUGGGUACGGGCUGGCUAGAGGUAGGUAGGGGAGAACGGAAUUCCUGGUGUAGCGGUGAAAUGCGCAGAUAUCAGGAGGAACACCGAUGGCGAAGGCAGGUCUCUGGGCAUUAACUGACGCUGAGGAGCGAAAGCAUGGGGAGCGAACAGG